rnacentral:rRNA from 1 species
AGUCAACCUACCCUAUGGACGGGAAUAACCUCGGGAAACUGAGUAUAAUGCCCGAUAGAACACUAUACCUGGAAUGGUUUGUGUUCCAAAUGAUUUAUCGCCGUAGGAUGGGACUGCGGCCUAUCAGUUUGUUGGUGAGGUAAUGGCCCACCAAGACUAUUACAGGUACGGGCUCUGAGAGGAGUAGCCCGGAGAUGGGUACUGAGACACGGACCCAGGCCCUAUGGGGCGCAGCAGGCGAGAAAACUUUGCAAUGUGCGAAAGCACGACAAGGUUAAUCCGAGUGGUUUCUGCUAAAGAAACCUUUUGUCGGUCCUAGAAACACCGAUGAAUAAGGGGUGGGCAAGUUCUGGUGUCAGCCGCCGCGGUAAAACCAGCACCUCAAGUGGUCAGGAUGAUUAUUGGGCCUAAAGCAUCCGUAGCCGGCUCUGUUAGUUUUCGGUUAAAUCUGUACGCUCAACGUACAGGCUGCCGGGAAUACUGCAGAGCUAGGGAGUGGGAGAGGUAGACGGUACUCGGUAGGAAGGGGUAAAAUCCUUUGAUCUAUUGAUGACCACCUGUGGCGAAGGCGGUCUACCAGAACACGUCCGACGGUGAGGGAUGAAAGCUGGGGGAGCAAACCGGAUUAGAUACCCGGGUAGUCCCAGCUGUAAGCUAUGCAAACUCAGUGAUGCAUUGGCUUGUGGCCAAUGCAGUGCUGCAGGGAAGCCGUUAAGUUUGCCGCCUGGGGAAGUACGUACGCAAGUAUGAAACUUAAAGGAAUUGGCGGGGGAGCACCACAAGGGGUGAAGCCUGCGGUUC